ensembl:snoRNA
GUGAGGCUACAGCACCAGAACGCUUGCUUGUGCAUAACUAAGGCGACCUGCCCUCUUCAAGCAGCCCUUUUAACUGGGAGCAAAGCGA